rnacentral:rRNA from 1 species
UGGGGAAUUUUGGACAAUGGGGGAAACCCUGAUCCAGCCAUCCCGCGUGUGCGAUGAAGGCCUUCGGGUUGUAAAGCACUUUUGGCAGGAAAGAAACGUCAUGGGUUAAUACCCCGUGAAACUGACGGUACCUGCAGAAUAAGCACCGGCUAACUACGUGCCAGCAGCCGCGGUAAUACGUAGGGUGCAAGCGUUAAUCGGAAUUACUGGGCGUAAAGCGUGCGCAGGCGGUUCGGAAAGAAAGAUGUGAAAUCCCAGAGCUCAACUUUGGAACUGCAUUUUUAACUACCGGGCUAGAGUGUGUCAGAGGGAGGUGGAAUUCCACGUGUAGCAGUGAAAUGCGUAGAUAUGCGGAGGAACACCGAUGGCGAAGGCAGCCUCCUGGGAUAACACUGACGCUCAUGCACGAAAGCGUGGGGAGCAAACAGG